rnacentral:rRNA from 1 species
GUCGUAACAAGGUUUCCGUAGGUGAACCUGCGGAAGGAUCAUUUCCGAAUUCUUUCCCAUUCUCUCCUCGCAAGGGGUUAGAAAGGGAAAAAUCAAAGAGAUUGUGUGGUAUCAAAGCGGAGUAGAAGGGGAAUGGUGUGUUGUAUAUAUAUAUUUAAUUAUAUGUACGUACAUCCCUAUUUUUCUUUUGCUUUCAUUUUCCAAACUUUGAAACAAACAUGACUACUUUAAAUUCAACAAAUGUAUUUAGGGAGUAAAAUUUAUUUUAUUCUUUGAAUCAAAAAAUAAAACAAUACACAACUGUCAACGGUGGAUCUCUUGGCUCGUGUAUCGAUGAAGAACGUAGCAAAGUGCGAUAAGUAAUGUGAAUUGCAGAAUUUGUGAAUCAUCGAAUUUUUGAACGCAAGUUGCGGUCUUCUACACGGAGACCAUGUUUGCCUGAGGGUUGUUUUUAAACCAAAUUGAGGUGUGUUUCCCCUUUUCUUGUAACAAAGAAGAGUAUAAACUCCCUUUAAAUGCUAAACCUUUUGUAGCAAUACAAAAGCAUUUCUAAGAGAUGUUUCAUUUUAUUAUGAAAUUGAUCUUAAUAAUGGCAUGUUUAAAGACUUUUAACUAAUGGCAAGAGUGAGGGGGUAUAAGGGAGGACUUAAUUGGCUUCUUUUUAUAUCUCCUUGCUUGCUUAUUAAAGCUAUUAGUUAUAUACAAGGCUUUAUUCCUUCCUAAAAUCAAAAUGCAACCCCAGAUCAGCAGACUACCCGCUGACUUAAGCAUAUAUAAGGGAGAAAAGAACUAACUAGGAUUCCCAUAGUAAUGGCGAACGAAGUGGGAAAAGCUCGAUGUUGGAAUCCUACGGGAAUUGUAGUUUAUCGAGGUGUUUUUAAGGGGUAUUACUUGGUGACAAGUCCCUUGGAAAAGGGUAUGAUACAGGGUGACAAUCCCGUAGUCGCUGAGUGAUAUCUACUAUUAGACACUUUUGGAGAGUCGAGUUGUUUGGGAAUGCAGCUCAAAGGGGGUGGUAGGCAUCAUCUAAAGCUAAAUAUGGACACGAGACCGAUAGCGAACAAGUACCGUGAGGGAAAGAUGAAAAGCACUUUGGAAAGAGGGUUAAAGGAGGACGUGAAACCGUUGAUAGGGUAAGCGGAAGGUUCCUAAGGGUGAAUGAUUGUGCGAAAAUCUGGAGACCUUUCUUGUUUAACGUGCCGAACUGAACGCAAGUCUGUUUAGUAUGUUGAUGAUGGGAUUGGACUUCUUACUUUUUGUAUAAUCUACGAGUCUAGUUUUGAGCUUUAGUCGGCUUUUAAGCGAGGUGGUCAGUUCGCUGAUGUUAUACGCUUAGGGGCUUCCUAUUGGUUUGGAACUAUUCAGUGUGUGGUCUUUGUUUCGGGGUAUGGUUAUGUUGCUUGGUUAGAUUCUUUAGGCUAUCCGCAAGGCUAGACUGGGGUUUUUGAACAGGUACUUGGCUGUAUUCCGUGCUACCAUACGACUCGAUCGGCUUUAUAGCUUCUGCACCCAACCUACCGACC